rnacentral:tRNA from 1 species
GUUAAUGUAGCUUAAACAACAAAGCAAGGCACUGAAAAUGC